rnacentral:rRNA from 1 species
GACGAAGGGGGCUAGCGUUGUUCGGAAUUACUGGGCGUAAAGCGUGUGUAGGUGGUUGUCCAAGUUGGAUGUGAAAGCCUUGAGCUCAACUCAAGAAAUGCAUUCAGGACUGGAUGGCUAGAGGACCGGAGAGGAUAGUGGAAUUCCCAGUGUAGUGGUGAAAUACGUAGAGAUUGGGAAGAACACCAGUGGCGAAGGCGGCUAUCUGGACGGUUUCUGACACUAAGACUCGAAAGCGUGGGGAGCAAACAGG